rnacentral:rRNA from 1 species
GAGUCAAAUCUCAAAGCACUAGAAGACAUGUGAUCUAAUUUAUAUAACUGGAAGAUUCCUAGAAUCGGACCGAACCUUAGAAUGUUAAAUAAUUCUUGGAUGAUUAUAAAUUAGCGGUUAAAUGCCAAUCAUACAUGAUGAUUUUAGGUUUUCCACGAAAUCUUUUCAGAAGAGAU